UCAGGAGUGAAGCCGCUGUGUGAUCUUGUGGAGAGUCCACACUGCAGACUGGAGACUCUGAGAUGGAAGCGGUCAGAAAGGCGGUUGUGUUGAGAGGACCAGCUGUGUCCUGAUGAUCCAGAGGUUGAAGCAGCAGCUGGUGUGUGGAGAGGCUCUGACUGGGCCAUGUUACUGGGAGGUGGAGUGGAGAGGAGAGCUUCACCCAGCAGUGACUGACGGAGGAAUCACAACAAGUGGAGAUGAGUGUCAGUGCUGCAGUCUGAACUGCUCUGAGAUCAGCUCCACUGUCAGACACAAAGGCAAGUCCACCAUCGUCCCUGUGAGUUCCUCUGGAUGUGGCAGAGUAUCGUCAGUGUAUCUGGACUCUCUGCUGCUGCUCUGUCCUUCUACACCGUCUCUGCAGACACACUGAGACUCCUCCACUCCUUCUGCUCCACCUCCUCCACCAGAAGUCUGCAGUUUAACUAUCUUUCUCUUCAGUGUGAGAUUAUAUUUCCGUCUACUUGUUCUUUUCUCUUCUGUAUGUUUAUGUUCUUAUUUCCAGUAGUUGGUGUUGCGCUCCUCUCAGGCCACCAGAGUUCAGGGCACACUAACAUGAUGUGUGGGAAUCUAGUGGAAGUAAAGCAAUAUUCAUUAUCCUCAA